rnacentral:rRNA from 1 species
AUUGAACGCUGGCGGCAGGCCUAACACAUGCAAGUCGAACGAGUGGCGGACGGGUGAGUAAUGUCUGGGAAACUGCCUGAUGGAGGGGGAUAACUACUGGAAACGGUAGCUAAUACCGCAUACCAUCAGAUGUGCCCAGUGGGGAUUAGCUAGUUGGGGGGGUAACGGGUCCCCAAGGCGACGAUCCCUAGCUGGUCUGAGAGGAUGACCGGCAAACCUGGAACUGGGACACGGUCCAGACGCCUACGGGAGGCAGCAGUGGGGAAUAUUGCACAAUGGGCGCAAGCCUGAUGCAGCCAUGCCGGGUGUAUGAAGAAGGCCUUCGGGUUGUAAAGUACUUUCAGCGGGGAGGCGUUACCCGCAGAAGAAGCACCGGCUAACUCCGUGCCAGCAGCCGCGGUAAUAC